rnacentral:tRNA from 1 species
GCACCCAUAGCUCAACUGGAUAGAGCACUGGUCUUCGGAACCAGGGGUUGGGGGUUCGACUCCCUCUGGGUGCACCA